rnacentral:misc_RNA from 1 species
GAUGAAGAACGUAGCGAAAUGCGAUAAGUAGUGUGAAUUGCAGAAUUCAGUGAAUCAUCGAAUCUUUGAACGCACAUUGCGCCCCUUGGUAUCCCGAGGGGCAUGCCUGUUCGAGCGUCAUUUCACCACUCAAGCCUGGCUUGGUGUUGGGCGACGUCCUCUUUGGGGACGCGCCUCAAAACGCUCGGCGGCGUGGCACCGGCUUUAAGCGUAGCAGAAUCUUUCGCUUUGGAAGUCGGGGCCCCGUCUGCCGGAAGACCUGCUCGCAAGGUUGACCUCGGAUCAGGCAGGGAUACCCGCUGAACUUAAGCAUAUCAAUAAGCGGAGGA